rnacentral:rRNA from 1 species
UACAGAGGUGCCGAGCGUUAGGCGGAAUCACUGGGCUUAAAGCGUGUGUAGGCGGACUUCUAAGUACCUUGUGAAAUCCCACGGCUCACCCGUGGAACUGCUGGGUAUACUGGUCGUCUUGAGCCACCUAGGGGCGAGCGGAACAAAUGGUGGAGCGGUGAAAUGCGUAGAUAUCAUUUGGAACGCCAACGGUGAAAACAGCUCGCUGGGGUGUGCUGACGCUGAGACACGAAAGCCAGGGUAGCGAACGGG